rnacentral:rRNA from 1 species
UACGUAGGGUGCAAGCGUUGUCCGGAAUUAUUGGGCGUAAAGAGCUCGUAGGCGGCUCGUCGCGUCGGCUGUGAAAACCUGGGGCUCAACCCCGGGCCUGCAGCCGAUACGGGCAAACUAGAGUACUGCAGGGGAGACUGGAAUUCCUGGUGUAGCGGUGAAAUGCGCAGAUAUCAGGAGGAACACCGGUGGCGAAGGCGGGUCUCUGGGCAGUAACUGACGCUGAGGAGCGAAAGCGUGGGGAGCGAACAGG